GGGUGGAAACUGGUGUAAGGACUUCAGGAGCUGUCAGCCCCCAGCCUUGAACUUCAGCCUCCUCUCAGUUACCAGACCCUGGGUUGUGUAAUCCAGGCUCGGCCAAAGCCUGGGUCAGGACCCAGAGGGGAGAAAAGCAGGAAGUGUCCCAGUCCCUGGAAUAGACAGUGUUCAGUGAAGGGAGCAGACUGGCACUGCGCUGGCUCACUGAGGGUCAGUCUUCCCGGGUUUCCUGGCUGCAGACGAAAAGCAAAGAGCUGCAUACCUGCCCGCACCUUCUUGGUUCCUUCUCCUAAAAGCUCACGGUGGCAUUCCUAUUACCCUCCUUUGACAGCUACGACAUGUGGGAAGUGUGGACCCGGGUACCCGACCCCUCUGGAGGCCAUGAAAGGGCCCAGGGAGGAGAUUAUCUACCUGGUCUGUAUUUACCGAAACACCGGUAUUGAGGCCCCGGAUUACCUAGCCACAGUGGACGUGGACCCCAAGUCGCCCCAGUAUUG